GACGAACGCUGGCGGCGUGCUUAACACAUGCAAGUCGUACGGUAAGGCCCUUUCGGGGGUACACGAGUGGCGAACGGGUGAGUAACACGUGAGUAACCUGCCCACAACUUUGGGAUAACGCUAGGAAACUGGUGCUAAUACUGGAUAUGUUCUCCUGCUGCAUGGUGGGGGUUGGAAAGCUCCGGCGGUUGUGGAUGGACUCGCGGCCUAUCAGCUUGUUGGUGGGGUAGUGGCCUACCAAGGCGGCGACGGGUAGCCGGCCUGAGAGGGUGACCGGCCACAUUGGGACUGAGAUACGGCCCAGACUCCUACGGGAGGCAGCAGUGGGGAAUAUUGCACAAUGGGCGCAAGCCUGAUGCAGCAACGCCGCGUGCGGGAUGACGGACUUCGGGUUGUAAACCGCUUUCAGCAGGGACGAAGCUUUUUGUGACGGUACCUGCAGAAGAAGCACCGGCUAACUACGUG
rnacentral:rRNA from 1 species